rnacentral:rRNA from 1 species
UACGGGGGGUGCGAGCGUUGUCCGGAAUCACUGGGCGUAAAGAGCUCGUAGGCGGUCUGUCGCGUCGGCUGUGAAAUCCCGGAGCUCAACUCCGGGUCUGCAGUCGAUACGGGCAAACUGGAGUACUGCAGGGGAGACUGGAAUUCCUGGUGUAGCGGUGAAAUGCGCAGAUAUCAGGAGGAACACCGGUGGCGAAGGCGGGUCUCUGGGCAGUAACUGACGCUGAGGAGCGAAAGCGUGGGGAGCGAACAGG